rnacentral:rRNA from 1 species
CAAGUCGAACGGCAGCGCGGGGCAACCUGGCGGCGAGUGGCGAACGGGUGAGUAAUAUAUCGGAACGUACCCUGGAGUGGGGGAUAACGUAGCGAAAGUUACGCUAAUACCGCAUACGAUCUAAGGAUGAAAGCAGGGGACCGCAAGGCCUUGUGCUCCUGGAGCGGCCGAUAUCUGAUUAGCUAGUUGGUGGGGUAAAGGCCUACCAAGGCAUCGAUCAGUAGCUGGUCUGAGAGGACGACCAGCCACACUGGAACUGAGACACGGUCCAGACUCCUACGGGAGGCAGCAGUGGGGAAUUUUGGACAAUGGGCGCAAGCCUGAUCCAGCAAUGCCGCGUGAGUGAAGAAGGCCUUCGGGUUGUAAGGCUCUUUUGUCAGGGAAGAAACGGUGAGGGCUAAUAUCCCUUGCUAAUGACGGUACCUGAAGAAUAAGCACCGGCUAACUACGUGCCAGCAGCCGCGGUAAUACGUAGGGUGCAAGCGUUAAUCGGAAUUACUGGGCGUAAAGCGUGCGCAGGCGGUUUUGUAAGUCUGUCGUGAAAUCCCCGGGCUCAACCUGGGAAUUGCGAUGGAGACUGCAAGGCUAGAAUCUGGCAGAGGGGGGUAGAAUUCCACGUGUAGCAGUGAAAUGCGUAGAGAUGUGGAGGAACACCGAUGGCGAAGGCAGCCCCCUGGGUCAAGAUUGACGCUCAUGCACGAAAGCGUGGGGAGCAAACAGGAUUAGAUACCCUGGUAGUCCACGCCCUAAACGAUGUCUACUAGUUGUCGGGUUUUAAUUAACUUGGUAACGCAGCUAACGCGUGAAGUAGACCGCCCUGGGGGAGUACGGUC